rnacentral:lncRNA from 12 species
AAUUACUAGAGAAGAUCAGGAUCAGACCUGCACAGGUGAUCAUGAAAUCGAAAUGCCUGGAAACUCAAUUUCUCAAGGUCGAUAUAACCCAUGCCUAGAACUUUUCCUGAACAUUGGGCUUGCCUGGAGAUGACAUUGAAAAGUUCCCAUAUUACAGGCAGACAGCUGAAUGCCC